UAUUAAGAGUGCGAAACAAUAACAGAAACCUCAAAAUGAUGGAAUUUCUUUUGCUCGGCUGCGCACUACCUCCGAGGUCGGCCCACGCAAGAGGCCGUCGUGUUUCUAC
rnacentral:lncRNA from 1 species